UGUAAAAAAAUACUGUGAUUUCUACGGGCGUUUAGUAGUAUGUGACGACGGCGUGUUACCGUAAUCACAAAUACUGCGAAAACUACGUAAAACGGUGGCGCCAUCAUCAUGCGCCGGCCAAAAACUUCAAUGCGGAGGCAAGGCCAAGCCAAGUACGGGGCAUUGCCGUCAUUCGCAAACGCCGGAAGCGGAACAUCGUGCGCGGACGAUGGUUGACGAAGGACGACGAAGCGGUUGUUGUAAAUCUCGCGAAUGCAUGUAGUUAGGUAAGCACAUUUCUGUUCGCACAUCCUGUUCUUUGCGAUUUGAGCGUGGUGCACCGUAUGCCUGGUUUUGUUCAACUUGACACCAGUAAAUCGUGGCUCGCGUUUGUUGUGAAGUGUCUCCCUAGUUCUGUGUGUACGUCCUGGCUCGUAGGGUGAUCAAGGCGCUCUUGUUGUAAUGUAUCGUUGCGGAAGGUGCCCAUGUGUUUUUAACACUCUGAUGGGCUAGUUGACCACCGUAGAGGUGUACAUGAAGCGAGCAGAAUACCGUGCUGUCAUGCAUUAUGUGUGUACACGGCGGCGACCUAUGCAAAACUCGGAUGUCACAUUUUGGGACGUUACAAGAACACACCAGGGCGGUCGCCUCGAUUUGCUCUCCGAAACCACGAAAGUAUGUCACGUCCAUUCGUGCUCGCGUCAGUUCACUACGAAUAUAGAGAUAAUGUCACAUAUGAAGCAGCACAUACGAAAGGGUCAUGAUCAGAUGUCCUUAUGAACGCUGCCAGAAGAAGUUCCGUGCUGUCUCCGCGUUUUGUGUGCACCUUCUUGUUCUUUCUUUGAAAAAAUAAAACUGAGUCUAAUUUCCUUUCUCUUUGAAGUGUUUUCAUGCCAGAACUGACUGAUGGGUGCACAUGGUUCCUUCUAUUUUGAUGCCAGACCUGACUGAUGGGUGCACAUGGUUCCUUCGUAUGUUCUUCUUUUGAACAAAAUAAACGGGUUUUCAUGCCAGAGGUGACUGGCGCAUUUUCAUCACUAUGUACAUAGAAAAUAAAUCUCAAUGUGACAAACAUCACAAUGUGUUGCGCAUGGUCAUUGCUUAAACUGCUCUCAUUGCCACGACUAUAUGUAG